CAGCCGCCACGGUAAUACGUAGGUGGCAAGCGUUGUCCGGAAUUAUUGGGCGUAAAGGGCUCGCAGGCGGUUUCUUAAGUCUGAUGUGAAAGCCCCCGGCUCAACCGGGGAGGGUCAUUGGAAACUGGGAAACUUGAGUGCAGAAGAGGAGAGUGGAAUUCCACGUGUAGCGGUAAAAUGCGUAGAGAUGUGGAGGAACACCAGUGGCGAGGGCGACUCUCUGGUCUGUAACUGACGCUGAGGAGCGAAAGCGUGGGGAGCGAACUGGAUUAGAUACCCGUGUAGUCCCUGUCUCUUAUAC
rnacentral:rRNA from 1 species